CUGGUUUGUAGAUGCGGCCUAGCUUGGUGGCUACCUGCUGCUGGUUUGUAGAUACGGCCUUGCUUGGUGGCUGGCUGCUUGUGGUGGUGGAUCCGGCCUAGCUUGGUGGCUGGCUGCUCGUGCUGGUGGUAGAUUCGGCCUCGCCUGCUGGCUACCUGCUGGUGGUGGACCUGUCCUGGCCUGGUUGCACCCUACUGGUGGUGGUGGAUCCGGCCUAGCCUGAUGGCUACCUGCUGCUGCUGUUGGUGGUGGCGGAUCCGGCCUAGCUUGGUGGCUGGCUGCUGGUGGUGGAUCCGCAGCUUGGUGGCUACCUGCUGGUGGUGAUGGUGGAUCCGGCCAGGCCUGAUGGCGAGCUGAUGGUGAUGGAUCCGGCCUGAUUUGGAGGCUGGCUGCUGGUGGAUCGAGCCUAGCAGCUCGCUGCUGGUGGCUAGCUGUCCUGACUUGUUAAUCGAUGAAGGGCAUACAAACGCUGGAUUUUGCUCUAUGGAAGAACAGCAGUGACAAGCACCUUCCAACUCCAUUUCGGAUGCAGCAGGAUUCCAAGCGUUUCUGCCUGCCUAGGGACACACCCACUUGGUCACAUUCCCAAGCACUCUCCAAGACUUCCGGACUACUGCAGAACCCCACUUUCUAAUUUUAUUGGUAUAGGAGUUGAUAAUACAUGAAUAAACCCUUUGGCGAGCUACAUGAAAAGUGAUUGGGAGCUACUGGUUGUGUCUUGCGGGACUACCACUGACUGGUAGUGGAAAAAGGCUGUUAGCAACUCCAGACAUCGGUGAACUUGUAAUUUGCACAACACUCCCGGUAUGCA